GCCUGGGUGGCUCAGUCGGUUGAGCAUCCGACUUCAGCUCGGGUCAUGAUCUCACAGUCUGUGAGUUCGAGCCCCGCGUCGGGCU
rfam:Felis catus isolate Cinnamon breed Abyssinian chromosome B4, whole genome shotgun sequence.